UAGUCCACGCCGUAAACGAUGGACACUAGUUGUUGGAAUAUUUCAGUGACUAAGCGAAAGUGAUAAGUGUCCCACCUGGGGAGUACGAUCGCAAGAUUGAAACUCAAAGGAAUUGACGGGGGCCCGCACAAGCGGUGGAGCAUGUGGUUUAAUUCGAUGAUACGCGAGGAACCUUACCAGGGCUUAAAUGUAUUCUGACAGGUCUAGAGAUAGAUUUUUCUUCGGACAGAUUACAAGGUGCUGCAUGGUUGUCGUCAGCUCGUGCCGUGAGGUGUCAGGUUAAGUCCUAUAACGAGCGCAACCCUUAUCGUUAGUUGCCAGCAUUUCAAGAUGGGGACUCUAACGAGACUGCCGGUGCAAACCGCGAGGAAGGUGGGGAUGACGUCAAAUCAUCACGGCCCUUACGUCCUGGGCUACACACGUGCUACAAUGGUAUAGACAAUGAGCAGCCAGUGGGCAACCACGAGCGAAUCUAUAAACUAUAUCACAGUUCGGAUCGG
rnacentral:rRNA from 1 species